CCUACGGGUGGCAGCAGUGGGGAAUAUUGGACAAUGGGGGGAACCCUGAUCCAGCCAUGCCGCGUGUGUGAAGAAGGCCCUCGGGUUGUAAAGCACUUUCAGUGAGGAAGAACGCCUGGUGGUUAAUACCCAUCAGGAAAGACAUCACUCACAGAAGAAGCACCGGCUAACUCCGUGCCAGCAGCCGCGGUAAUACGGAGGGUGCGAGCGUUAAUCGGAAUUACUGGGCGUAAAGCGCGCGUAGGUGGCUUGAUAAGCCGGUUGUGAAAGCCCCGGGCUCAACCUGGGAACGGCAUCCGGAACUGUCAAGCUAGAGUGCAGGAGAGGAAGGUAGAACUCCCGGUGUAGCGGUGAAAUGCGUAGAGAUCGGGAGGAAUACCAGUGGCGAAGGCGGCCUUCUGGACUGACACUGACACUGAGGUGCGAAAGCGUGGGUAGCAAACAGGAUUAGAUACCCCGGUAGUC
rnacentral:rRNA from 1 species